rnacentral:rRNA from 1 species
CUGAAACCGUGCGCUUACAAGCGGUCGGAGCCCUUUAGUGGGGUGACGGCGUGCCUUUUGCAUAAUGAGCCUACGAGUUGUCGUUGUUGGCAAGGUUAACCCGUUCAGCGGGGUAGCCGGAGCGAAAGCGAGUCUUAACAGGGCGCCUUUAGUCAGUGGCGGCAGACGCGAAACUUGGUGAUCUACCCAUGGGCAGGGUGAAGUGUAGGUAACAC